rnacentral:rRNA from 1 species
GACAGAGGUGCCGAGCGUUAGGCGGAAUCACUGGGCUUAAAGCGUGUGUAGGCGGACUUCUAAGUACCUUGUGAAAUCCCACGGCUCAACCGUGGAACUGCUUGGUAUACUGGUCGUCUUGAGCCAUCUAGGGGCUGUCGGAACAAAUGGUGGAGCGGUGAAAUGCGUAGAUAUCAUUUGGAACGCCAAUGGUGAAAACAACUUGCUGGGGGUGUGCUGACGCUGAGACACGAAAGCCAGGGGAGCAAACGGG